CCUACGGGAGACUGCAGUGGGGGAUAUUGCACAAUGGGGGAAACCCUGAUGCAGCGACGCCGCGUGAGUGAAGAAGUAGUUCGGUAUGUAAAGCUCUAUCAGCAGGGAAGAAAAGGACAGUACCUGAACAAGAAGCCCCGGCUAACUACGUGCCAGCAGCCGCGGUAAUACGUAGGGGGCAAGCGUUAUCCGGAUUUACUGGGUGUAAAGGGAGCGAAGACGGUUAGGUAUGUCUGGAGUGAAAGCCCGGGGCCCAACCCCGGGACUGCUUUGGAUACUGGUUAGCUGGAGUACAGGAGGGGCAGGCAGAAUUCCUGGUGUAGCGGUGAAAUGCGUAGAUAUCAGGAGGAACACCGGCGGCGAAGGCGGCCUGCUGGACUGAAACUGACGUUGAGGCUCGAAAGCGUGGGGAGCAAACAGGAUUAGAUACCCGAGUAGUC
rnacentral:rRNA from 1 species